CUACGGGUGGCAGCAGUGAGGAAUAUUGCACAAUGGGGGGAACCCUGAUGCAGCAACGCCGCGUGGAGGAUGACGCAUUUCGGUGUGUAAACUCCUUUUAUAUGUCAAGAAAAUGACGGUAGCAUAUGAAUAAGCACCGGCUAACUCCGUGCCAGCAGCCGCGGUAAUACGGAGGGUGCAAGCGUUACUCGGAAUCACUGGGCGUAAAGGACGCGUAGGCGGGUUGGAAAGUCAGGUGUGAAAUCCUACAGCUUAACUGUAGAACUGCACUUGAAACUUCUAAUCUAGAGUAUGGGAGGGGGAGAUGGAAUUAGUGGUGUAGGGGUAAAAUCCGUAGAUAUCACUAGGAAUACCUAAAGCGAAGGCGAUCUCCUGGAACAUUACUGACGCUAAGGCGUGAAAGCGCGGGAAGCAAACAGGAUUAGAUACCCUUGUAGUC
rnacentral:rRNA from 1 species